GACGAACGCUGGCGGCGUGCCUAAUACAUGCCAGUAGAACGCACAGUUUAUACCGUAGCUUGCUACACCAUAGACUGUGAGUUGCGAACGGGUGAGUAACGCGUAGGUAACCUGCCUGGUAGCGUGGGAUAACUAUUGGAAACGAUAGCUAAUACCGCAUAAUAUUGAUUAUUGCAUGAUAAUUGAUUGAAAUAUGCUAUUGCAUCACUACCAGAUGGACCUGCGUUGUAUUAGCUAGUAGGUGAGGUAACGGCUCACCUAGGCGACGAUACAUAGCCGACAUGAGAGGGUGAUCGGCCACACUGGGACGGAGACACGGCCCAGACGCCUACGGGAGGCAGCAGUAGGGAAUCUUCGGCAAUGGACGAAAGUCUGAACGAGAAACGCCGAGUGAGUGAAGAAGGUUUUCGGAUCGUAAAGCUCUGUUGUAAGAGAAGAACGGGUGUGAGAGUGGAAAGUUCACACUGUGACGGUAUCUUACAAGAAAGGGACGGCUAACUACGUG
rnacentral:rRNA from 1 species